UAUUUAUACACUUUUUGGAGGCCAAAUCUCAGGUAUUUUGAUGAAAAUGUUGUCCAAAUAUAUCAUGCGACCUAUCUUUGGAUAGAUAAUUAAUAAGCCUUUCCAACGGGCACAAAUUGAAUUGGAGAUUUGACUACGCUAUCAUAAGUUGUAAGCACAUAAGUGCCCUGAAAUAAUAAUGAGAUGAAUAAUUAGUCAAAUUGAUAGAACACUUAAAGGUCCGCCCUAUUUUGGAUAGCAUUACCUUUUAAAUGUGAGGAAGGCACCAACCACCUAAGGGUGGAUUAAGUAACGUUUUUUAUAAUAAAAUUCCGAUUCUUCACAUCUAAAUUUCGGCAAAAAAAACAGGUUGGCACAUUACAAUUUGUUACAGGGUGUUGAUGGGUUAUUUAGUGAAAUGCAACAAAAACUGUUACUGUUCAACAUUUCAUAAUCACAGCAUCCGGUAUAACGUCAUUUUUCUAUUCCGAAUGGAAUUUAGAUUGAGUCUUCUUUUCUUGUUUUUCCGCUAUUCCAAUAAAAAAAACUGUAAUCUUUUAUUCAGAUGGAAAAUGUAUGGCCUGUACACACAAGAUAAAAUUCAUCGAGGUAUCAGUGGCCAUAAAUCAUAACGUUGACACGUUGCUGGCUGGAGUUUUGUCUCAAAUACGCCUGAAAAAGGUGCAUUGUGCUCUUCAGGGGCAUCGAGAACCAUCACCAUCAGCGCAUUGGUACAAAAAUCGUAAUGUAGUUCGAGCUUCAAUGAAGGCUCGCCAAAUGAUCACUUGGAUAUUUGGAAAAGAGGACUCCAAGUUU